rnacentral:tRNA from 1 species
GGAGAGGUGCCGGAGUGGUUGAACGGGACGGUCUCGAAAACCGUUAGGGUCAUUUUGGCCCUCGUGGGUUCGAAUCCCACCCUCUCCG